UACGUAGGGACCGAGCGUUGUCCGGAAUUAUUGGGCGUAAAGAGCUCGUAGGCGGUCUGUCGCGUCGAUCGUGAAAACUUGGGGCUUAACCCUGAGCUUGCGGUCGAUACGGGCAUGACUGGAGUUCGGCAGGGGAGACUGGAAUUCCUGGUGUAGCGGUGAAAUGCGCAGAUAUCAGGAGGAACACCGGUGGCGAGGGCGGGUCUCUGGGCCGAUACUGACGCUGGAGGAGCGAAAGCGUGGGGAGCGAACAGG
rnacentral:rRNA from 1 species